rnacentral:rRNA from 1 species
GUCGAGCGAACAGAUAAGGAGCUUGCUCCUUUGACGUUAGCGGCGGACGGGUGAGUAACACGUGGAUAACCUACCUAUAAGACUGGGAUAACUUCGGGAAACCGGAGCUAAUACCGGAUAACAUAUUGAACCGCAUGGUUCAAUAGUGAAAGGCGGCUUUGCUGUCACUUAUAGAUGGAUCCGCGCCGUAUUAGCUAGUUGGUAAGGUAACGGCUUACCAAGGCAACGAUACGUAGCCGACCUGAGAGGGUGAUCGGCCACACUGGAACUGAGACACGGUCCAGACUCCUACGGGAGGCAGCAGUAGGGAAUCUUCCGCAAUGGGCGAAAGCCUGACGGAGCAACGCCGCGUGAGUGAUGAAGGUCUUCGGAUCGUAAAACUCUGUUAUCAGGGAAGAACAAAUGUGUAAGUAACUGUGCACAUCUUGACGGUACCUGAUCAGAAAGCCACGGCUAACUACGUGCCAGCAGCCGCGGUAAUACGUAGGUGGCAAGCGUUAUCCGGAAUUAUUGGGCGUAAAGCGCGCGUAGGCGGUUUUUUAAGUCUGAUGUGAAAGCCCACGGCUCAACCGUGGAGGGUCAUUGGAAACUGGAAAACUUGAGUGCAGAAGAGGAAAGUGGAAUUCCAUGUGUAGCGGUGAAAUGCGCAGAGAUAUGGAGGAACACCAGUGGCGAAGGCGACUUUCUGGUCUGUAACUGACCUGAUGUGCGAAAGCGUGGGGAUCAAACAGGAUUAGAUACCCUGGUAGUCCACGCCGUAAACGAUGAGUGCUAAGUGUUAGGGGGUUUCCGCCCCUUAGUGCUGCAGCUAACGCAUUAAGCACUCCGCCUGGGGAGUACGACCGCAAGGGUUGAAACUCAAAGGAAUUGACGGGGACCCGCACAAGCGGGGGAGCA